rnacentral:rRNA from 1 species
CAGCCGUAAACAAUGUGCGUUAGGUGUGUCGGUAACCACGUGUUACUGAUGCGCCGAAGAGAAAUCGUGAAACGCACCACCUGGGAAGUACGGUCGCAAGGCUGAAACUUAAAGGAAUUGGCGGGGGGAGGCACCACAACAGGUGGAGCCUGCGGUUUAAUUGGAUUCAACGCCGGACAUCUCACCGGAUAAGACAGCUGGAUGAUUGUCAAUCUGAAGGUUUUACAUGACUAGCUGAGAGGUGGUGCAUGGCGUCAGUGACU